rnacentral:rRNA from 1 species
GACGAACGCUGGCGGCGUGCCUAAUACAUGCAAGUAGAACGCUGAAGGAGGAGCUUGCUUCUCUGGAUGAGUUGCGAACGGGUGAGUAACGCGUAGGUAACCUGCCCGGUAGCGGGGGAUAACUAUUGGAAACGAUAGCUAAUACCGCAUAAGAGUAGAUGUUGCAUGACAUUUGCUUAAAAGGUGCAAUUGCAUCACUACCAGAUGGACCUGCGUUGUAUUAGCUAGUUGGUGGGGUAACGGCUCACCAAGGCGACGAUACAUAGCCGACCUGAGAGGGUGAUCGGCCACACUGGGACUGAGACACGGCCCAGACUCCUACGGGAGGCAGCAGUAGGGAAUCUUCGGCAAUGGACGGAAGUCUGACCGAGCAACGCCGCGUGAGUGAAGAAGGUUUUCGGAUCGUAAAGCUCUGUUGUAAGAGAAGAACGAGUGUGAGAGUGGAAAGUUCACACUGUGACGGUAUCUUACCAGAAAGGGACGGCUAACUACGUGCCAGCAGCCGCGGUAAUACGUAGGUCCCGAGCGUUGUCCGGAUUUAUUGGGCGUAAAGCGAGCGCAGGCGGUUAGAUAAGUCUGAAGUUAAAGGCUGUGGCUUAACCAUAGUACGCUUUGGAAACUGUUUAACUUGAGUGCAAGAGGGGAGAGUGGAAUUCCAUGUGUAGCGGUGAAAUGCGUAGAUAUAUGGAGGAACACCGGUGGCGAAAGCGGCUCUCUGGCUUGUAACUGACGCUGAGGCUCGAAAGCGUGGGGAGCAAACAGG